rnacentral:rRNA from 1 species
UACGUAGGGGGCAAGCGUUGUCCGGAUUUAUUGGGCGUAAAGAGCUCGUAGGCGGUGUGUCACGUCGGCCGUGAAAACCUGCAGCUUAACUGUGGGCGUGCGGUCGAUACGGGCAUCACUGGAGUUCGGCAGGGGAGACUGGAAUUCCUGGUGUAGCGGUGAAAUGCGCAGAUAUCAGGAGGAACACCGGUGGCGAAGGCGGGUCUCUGGGCCGAUACUGACGCUGAGGAGCGAAAGCGUGGGGAGCAAACAGG